UUCUCCAAAAUCUUCAUCGACCCCUUCUGAUUUUCUUCUCCUUCUUCCUUGGAAGCGUAAUGAGAAAGUGAGAAUCAAGUUUCAUCUUUUCCUUUAACUUCUUCAAAUCAUUCAAUUAAUUUCAAGUUCAUCUUCUCCUGCAAUUUCUUCUAUUAAGGCUUGUUUAGUUUGAGAAAAAAUGGAAAAUUAGGGCUUGAUGGAUCUGAUUUUUUGCAGAAAGAAUUUAUGAUGUUGCGAAUAUUAUAUCGGGAGAACAUGAUUUGGGUUCGCUAACAAAAGAAGAAGUUGCAGUUGAAAGAGAUUGUAAAUCAAUAAAAACCAACUAAAGAAGAUUCUCAUAUUGCACAGAUAACUUUAGGGUUUCGGAUUUGGGGAUUUUUAAGAAACAAAAUAAUUCUAGGGAUUCUAUUGAAUCUGAUAGUGAAGAGGAGAAAACUAGGGUUUGAGAUUCACAGAGAAGAACACAGCAAGCUUGAAUCAGUGUUAAUUUGGUUUGGAUUUGAGUUAUGUUGCUCGAAUUUAAGAGAAAAGGUUUUGCUGGUGGAAAAUGAAGUAUGGGUUCGAUUGAGAUGGAAUUGGUGUUGGUUACAGUCUUGAUUUGGUGGUGAAUAUAAUGGGUAUUUGUUUGAUUUCGUUUUGAGAAGAAUUUGGAUUCGCAGUGGUGUUGGUGGUAAAGCAGUGGUGGUAUUGAACUCUAGCCGGAGUUGAGAUGAAGCUGAUGUUAGAAAGAUUCAGAAGCUGGUUACGAAUUAAAGAGUGGGUCUGGGUUGAAUUAGCUGUUGGUUGUGGCCAUGAAUGUUAUGUUGCUGCAAAUGGAGGUUGAGUUGAUGGUCCUGUAGUUGAAUUGUUGGUGGUUGCAGGUAACUGAAACUUGGGAUGAUUGAAGCUACAUAAUUUAUCCUAGAUGUAUGUUAGGACCACAGUCAGAUAAGAAAUGAGUUGUGAUGAAUAUGUGUACUACUAGAAGAGAACGGGAAGGGAUUGUGUUGCAGGCUUAGAAGAUGGUGGUUGAAAUGGAACUAGGGGCUUUGUAUUUGGCAGAACAAGGUUGCAGCUGCUGUACAGAUGAAGGCUAGGACAACAGUCAUGAAAGGCGCAGUGAUGAUGAGCUGGUGGUGUUUGAACUAUGAACUGGAUUUGCAUUAGUUUAUACGGUUUGCAGCUGGUGUUGUAUGGAAGGAGUAUGCAUUGUAUGGAUGUAUCUGAAGUCGAAGUACAUGGAUCUCAAGAACUGGAGCUGCAUUAGGAGACAGGAAAUGGCAGGAGUAUAUGAACUGCGAUGGACUGAGACAGUGAAUGGAUGCAGUUGUGCUGCUGGUGGUGGUAUGUUAGAGUUCCAGAUUGCAACUACAGAGAACAAGGUUUAUAUGCCUUGGCAUGUGUAGCUGAACUGACGCAAAUGACGAAUGGAGAAUGAAUAGGUUUGAGUAGAUGAAUGUUAGGUUGUGCAGGGAAGCUAGCAAUGAAAUGACAUGAAAUUAUGGCCGGGAAACAACCAUAAACAUGGGAGACAGGAAUUGCAAGCAAUAAGAAGUAGAGUUGAUUUGGAGUUGACUCGACUCGGCGUUUCAAGUCGGCGAUUCAAGAAAAUAAAAUCCAACUCUACUCAGGAGGGAGGGAUUUUUGGAAAUUUUGACCCUGCCACCUAAGCGUUAACAGCUGCUAACUGUUAUUUACCGUUUUUUGAAUAAAACGGUCAAGGCAAGGGUACUUUAACAAAUUUUUAAAAAACGGGGACUUUUUUUUAUUGUAAUGUUAAAAAAUAGGGAUACUUUAUCAAAAAGCCUUAUAUCAUUUUGUU